rnacentral:rRNA from 1 species
GGCGACCAUACUGGCGGGGCCACACCCGUUCCCAUCCCGAACACGGCCGUUAAGCCCGCCCGGCCCAUGAUAGUGCUCAGG